rnacentral:lncRNA from 1 species
CCGGAUACGUCCUGGGUAACUCUGGGGCACCGCGGGGGCGAAGAAGCCCGUUCCAGGCGGCUUCCGAUUGGCCCGCGCAGCCCAGCGCGUUACUACCCCGUCCCCCGCCGGGGAGUCCCGCGGCGGGGGACGCUCGGGGACGACUCUGCGCGCCUCUCCGGGCCAAUGGCGGCCGCCCGCGGCGCGCGGGGUUCUGGGAGUUGUAGUCCGCGCGGCGGCGGCUCGGCUCGCUCGGAAGCCGAGGCGCCGCCAUGACGGAGCGGCCCUGGCCGGAGCGGAGCCCGCGCGCGACUCCAUCCCAGGACCCUGGAGGGUGCUGAGGGGCUGCGGUUCUUCGCCCUGGAGAAUCUGCCCGGGGCGCACUUCCCUGCCACCGGAGAGAAGGGGGUGACGGAGGUUGUAAACGCGCAGUCAGGCUGCGGCGGCGGCAAGAAGCAGGCUCGAAGACGGCUGGCAGGGCACAGCCCUCGUGAGUCGCCCUCCCUGCGUUUGUACACCUCUCCUUCCUGAUUGUAAAACCCACACACGUGCUCAUGAAAAGUGCUCCAGAGGAUCAAGAAGGAAAAAGUCACAUGGAAUACUCCUCCACUUUUCACUUGUCAUAAGCAUUUCCCAUGUCAUUAAAAAUCCUUCCUAAAUGUUUUUGUUCUUUUUUUUUUUUUCUUCAUGAUGAAGGUCAAACAUCAAUAUACCAUUUGGGGGAGAUUAAGGAAGUAUGAAGAACAUAGCAUUUGGCUGGCCGCCCUUGGGCCUUUCCCAGCGGCCCUUUUUGGGACCCUCAUACAUCAUUUUACAUCCCACUUUCCCCUGUACCUCAUAUCAUCUGUAUGUCACGUCUGCUUCCCUUGAGCAUGUUAUGUUCCCGUGCGUUUUGCAGUCGUAAAUUCUCCGCCCUGUGAUGGGAGGGUAGUUGAUCUCACCAGGCUGGACUGUUGGGCACUUUUGUUGUGAUUCUUGGUGCCUAAAUCUUUGUCCCAAUUUCAGAUAAAUUCCACAGCAUGCGAACUUCCAGAAUGGUCUUGAUAUACAAGCUGCCAUAGUGCUUUCCAGAAAGGUCGUGCCAGUUUGUACUUUGACCAUUGGAUCAGCACACGGGACAAGUGUUUAAAAAAAAAAAAAAAUCUCAUUUUUAUUUUUACAACUUUGUUUUCUUCAGUUAUAUGUUCACUAUGGGAAGCUUGGAAAAUGCACAAAAUGCUAUUUUUUCACUGCCCUUCCCACUUUCCCUCUGUUUUUAAAGUCUCUUUCCCCCCUUGUCCUCCUCACCGCCUCCUCCCUCAGCCUUAACUUAGUAAAAAAGGCAAGACAGCAGAGGCAGGGCAGGAGGCCUCUGUUGUGCUAUUACAUGGCAUAUCUGGCUGUUUCCAUUUAAAGGGAAUUUAAAGUCCAGUUCCUUAUUUCAAGUGCUCAGGAGCCACAUACUAGCUGGUGGCUACCAUGCGGGAUGGCACAGAUGGAGACCAUUUCCAACCCCGCAGGAAGUUCUGGGGGGCAGUGCUGGCUACUCCCAGGGCAGGAAUCCAGUUCUCCUAGAGGCUCAGUAAACCAUGUGUUGAAUGACUAAAUGAGUGAAGGAGGCAGAUGUAUGCUAAGUUAAGGAAAUGAGAUAUGUUCACAAUGAGGUAAGAUUCGUGAAGACAGCACAAUGAAGAUGAGAAAAGGGUGAUGGCGUGAGCCAGCGCAUGGUGACAUCCUGCGGUGGCGACAGGUGGGCUGGGAUGAACAUGAGAGUCGUGUGGGUGGGAACAGCAGGUACAAAGGUCCCGGGGUGACCAGUGCCUUGUUUUCAACACGAUGUAACCCAUGAGGGUCAUAUGGAAGGAGAUUAGGUCAGAAUGAGAUGGGGAGGGCUCAGGUCAGUUCCUUGGGAACUAGAGGUCAGGGCAAGGAGGGGGGGAGUGAGGGGAGUCCUGAGCAAGGUGGUGGCCACCCUCUGAUGUGGCCACUUUGCGCCUGCCCCUCUCUGCAGGCCCCCGACUGCUGACUGCAUCCGCCUGCUGCCACCUGGGUUUGUCUGGAGCUGCUGGGACUGUCCUGGGAUCCAGCCUGCU